GGUAAAAACCUUGUGUAGCAGGUGUGCCCAUAAUCAUUUCCUGUCAGUAAUGGAGUCCGGAGGAGUAGGAAGCUACUAGCGUUAGCUUGCUGCUUCUAAUGGUGCUCAGCUGUAACAAGGCAAAACUUAGUUACGAAGUUUUCACAAAAUAACUCUGACACAAAGAGAAAAAGAGAGUAAGUUCAGUCGGCAUUCUCAAUGUUUUCCCAUUCAGCCAGUAGGUAGACAAACGUAAAGUAGCGUUAGCUGCUAAUUCAGCACUAAAACAACCUGCUGGCACCAACUUUCCCGGACGUGGAGGAAAUACAGAAGUUUAAUGGACAAAGAAGAGGCACUUUUCAUCACUUGGUAAAGUAGCCUACUGGACGUCUGGCUUGGCAUCAGUGGUGACAUACUGAACUUUGGUAAUAUUCACCUGAGAGAAAACUGGCUGAUGAAUAAUUGGACUAUGGAAUAUUAUCAUUGAAGACAUCAAAGAGACUUGAGAGCUCAGGUCAGUUACAGAGCAGCACCACUGGACCUGCAGGAAAAGAGACAGAUGCAAGCUGGGAUUCCUGCAUAUAAGGAGUUUGCUGUGGUUCAACACAAUCUGGGUGCAUUGACCAAGUCCCACAGCCUGUCUCUGUUGACUGGUGACCUGUCUGAGCCUUGCUACAGCACAUCAUUAUCCAGGCCACCUGCUAGUCUGGCAACAGAUGGGAGAGGCUUACCUCGCGCGCCCCCCGACUGACAGCUCAAGUCAUGCAAGCAGACGUUUGUCAAUGACAACCACAACAAACUCUGCAUGACACUUGUACGUUCAAACACUUCCCAUAUUAAGUGUUGGUUCAGAGUCAAUGAGAGAGAAGUUAUACUGAGAAAUGAAUGAAAUGCAAAGGAGGUUCUGGACAGAUUGUAGAUCUACAGAGUCUUGAGUUCAGCUGGGAUCACUACAACUGUGUUGAUUAAAGCGAAAACAUUUUUAAAGGCUAAAUCUGUAUGUUUUCAUAUAUUGUCACAGAAGAGAGGUAACUGUAUUGUUGUUUAAAGGACAGAGCCUCUAGCGUCAUUUCUGUGGCUACUGUUCGACGAACAUGGCUAACAUAAAGCCUUCCAUAUGAUGUACAAAAUAUGGCCUAUAUACAAACUACAGUAUGGCUUAGUAAGAGGGCCACAACUUCUGUUAAGUAAUCUCAUGCAACGUUAUUUUUAGGCAUACUAGCAGCAUGGCUCAAGGGAUGACAAAGGCAAUGUCCUUGCAAGCACAUUAGCAUGCUGACCUUAGCAUUUAGCUGAAACCACUGCUCUGCCUAAGUACAGCCUUACAGCGGCACAUUUCAAAAAGUUAGAUUUUGUAGUGGUUUAACAUUAUAAAAGUAAAAGGUUGAGCCAAAAUUCUCUUUUUG